GGUCUCGACAUCCGAUGCUAUUUCUAGAGAUAGAAAGUUACUUCGGUACAUCGGUGACAGGUGGUGCAUGGUUGUCGUCAGCUCGUGUCGUGAGAUGUUGGGUUAAGUCCCGCAACGAGCGCAACCCCUAUUGUUAGUUGCCAUCAUUCAGUUGGGCACUCUAGCGAGACUGCCGGUAAUAAACCGGAGGAAGGUGGGAUGACGUCAAAUCAUCAUGCCCCUUAUGACCUGGGCUACACACGUGCUACAAUGGUUGGUACAACGAGUUGCGAGUCGGUGACGGCGAGCUAAUCUCUUAAAGCCAAUCUCAGUUCGGAUUGUAGGCUGCAACUCGCCUACAUGAAGUCGGAAUCGCUAGUAAUCGCGGAUCAGCACGCCGCGGUGAAUACGUUCCCGGGCCUU
rnacentral:rRNA from 1 species